GAUGAAGAACGUAGCGAAAUGCGAUAAGUAAUGUGAAUUGCAGAAUUCCGUGAAUCAUCGAAUCUUUGAACGCAUAUUGCGCCCUCUGGUAUUCCGGAGGGCAUGCCUGUCCGAGCGUCAUUACUAUCUUCAAGCACAGCUUGGUUGUUGAGCCCAAUUGUUUUUUCCCAAAACAGGCUUGAAAUGCAGCGGCGAUGCCAUGUUUGGUGCCCGAGUGUAUGGGGCUUUGUCACCCGCUCUUGUAGGCCCGGCCGGCGCUUGCCGACACAUCAAUCUUUUUUCCAGGUUGACCUCGGAUCAGGUAGGGAUACCCGCUGAACUUAAGCAUAUCAAUAAGCGGAGGA
rnacentral:misc_RNA from 1 species